AAGGAGCAUCUAGGCCGCCAGGCAUUGUCUGGUGGUCCAGGGCCAUUACGUCGGCAUACGUUCGACGGUGGUUGCUCAUGGGUGGAACGUUGAUUAUUCGGCACCUCAGUCAUCUCGGGCUGUGAGUACUGUCCCUUCGGGGGCGUGGAAAGCUGAUCAUGAGUGGCGAGGGUGUCGGGCACGCUGUUGGGUGUCUGAGGGUAUGGCCGUGAGGUUGUGUCUUCAGUGCCGGCCCCAGUGAACUCGCCCUGUAGGGGUGGGGUGGUGGGUGGUUGGUCGUUG
rnacentral:misc_RNA from 2 species